rnacentral:lncRNA from 1 species
UUUUGAUAGAAAAUUUUUUAUGCUAUUUAAAUCAUGAUCAAUAUUUCUAAUCGAAAACUUUGGUGUUAUAUCAUCACUUAGUUUAUAUGCAUCUGUAUUUUCCACUGUUUAUUUUGAACCAUUUCUAUCGCUAGGUAAAAGAUAUAAAAAAUGCGUAAAUUUAUUUUCUUCAUACUUCAAAUAUCCUAAGUUAAGUUUAACGAAAUUUAUUAUCGAUUCGGAAGUUCCAUCAUCGAAAAUAGCUUACGGUUUCGUGCUCCUAAUAGCACAGUUGGCCUGCUCUCUCUCUCUCUCUCUCUCUCUCUCUCUAUAUAUAUAU